AUUGAACGCUGGCGGCAUGCUUUACACAUGCAAGUCGAACGGCAGCGCGGGCUUCGGCCUGGCGGCGAGUGGCGAACGGGUGAGUAAUGCAUCGGAACGUGCCCAGUAGUGGGGGAUAGCCCGGCGAAAGCCGGAUUAAUACCGCAUACGACCUGAGGGUGAAAGCGGGGGACCGAAAGGCCUCGCGCUAUUGGAGCGGCCGAUGUCGGAUUAGCUAGUUGGUGGGGUAAAGGCUUACCAAGGCGACGAUCUGUAGCUGGUCUGAGAAGACGACCAGCCACACUGGGACUGAGACACGGCCCAGACUCCUACGGGAGGCGGCAGUGGGGAAUUUUGGACAAUGGGGGCAACCCUGAUCCAGCCAUGCCGCGUGCGGGAAGAAGGCCUUCGGGUUGUAAACCGCUUUUGUUCGGGAAGAAAUCCUCUGGGCUAAUACCCCGGGGGGAUGACGGUACCGGAAGAAUAAGCACCGGCUAACUACGUG
rnacentral:rRNA from 1 species